AGGUUGUGGCUAUGUUUAGAGAUGCUAUGGGGAACAAUAAGACUUCUACAGAGCCCUGAGUCAGCAGGGGAAAAGCUGAAGAAGCUGUAGAGUGUGGGAGAAAACUCUCCGGGCAGGGAGGUGUGGAGCAGACCCUGUCUAAGCAGAGAUAUCAAGGAUUACAACUGACUCUGUGAGGCAGAUCCUGCUUUCUCUUCUCUGUGUCCAGAUGACCUGACUGCAGUAUAGCUGGUAGAGAGAACUGUGGCAUCUUGGACAGAGAGGUACUGCUGGCAGGGACUGGGAGAUCAAGAGGAGCUCCUGGCUGGCCGCCAAGAUUGGGUAGUUGCUGGCCCUGAGGAAAGGUGAAGAAGGUUCUAGGGCCAUGGGGAAGUGGCCCAGGCUGCGAUCCACAGGGUCCCUGCACUGGGACCCGGGGUGGACCCACAUCCACUACUCCACUUGCUACUGGGGAAGUGGCAGGACAAGUGACUGCAGUUGCCUCUGGGGAAGUGGCUGGACUACUGAAGAGCCAAACCUCCUCUGGAAGGGAGGAACAUGGACAGUGACAUGGCCAGAGGGGGCCGACCCAUGAAGAGAACACUGCGGUUCUGGAGCUGAGAGAGGAGCUGUGCAUGGGGGCAGUGACAGAGAGAUGGAGUGCAGACCGCGGAUGUGGACAUCAGCCUCAGAGUGAGCAGGAGAAGGUGUCAAUCAGGCGGUGAGUGGUGCACCCAUGACAUAAGCAUUAACAGUUGAUUGGGUAGCUGGUGAAUUCUAAUGCUCCAGAUACAUGUGAUAUACAUAUACAUGCACAAUAUUAAAUGUGAUGGUGUUAAGUGGCACUCUUGUGUUAAUGUUUAAGAGUGGAUGUGUAUGUGCAAAAUUUCAAAAACACUGCAAUGGAGGCUACUUUUUGAGAAUUCAACCCCAAAUAUAUCACAUUUCCAUGGGAACAUCUUAAAUGAUGCUGUUUACCUCUAAAUACAAUAUCAUUUCAAUUCACUAUACAUGGGGUUACACCUUAAAACCAUUUUGAGACUGAAGCUGAUGCAGAAUGCACUGGCUCACAUAUGGAACAGGGCAUUUUUCUGGGACCAUAUGCCACCUGUGCUCUGGGAUCUCCCACGGACUGCCUAUUGGUUUAACAUGUUGGUUAUGAUCUAUCAAGUCUUAAAUGGUGUAGAACCACCCUAUGUG